CGAAGCGUAGCUCAGUGGUAGAGUUCGCCCUUGCAGGGCGGUCGUCGUGAGUUCGAGUCUCACCGCUUCGUUCA
rnacentral:tRNA from 1 species